AUGAACGCUAGCUACAGGCUUAACACAUGCAAGUCGAGGGGCAGCAUGGUCUUAGCUUGCUAAGGCCGAUGGCGACCGGCGCACGGGUGAGUAACACGUAUCCAACCUGCCGUCUACUCUUGGACAGCCUUCUGAAAGGAAGAUUAAUACAAGAUGGCAUCAUGAGUCCGCAUGUUCACAUGAUUAAAGGUAUUCCGGUAGACGAUGGGGAUGCGUUCCAUUAGAUAGUAGGCGGGGUAACGGCCCACCUAGUCUUCGAUGGAUAGGGGUUCUGAGAGGAAGGUCCCCCACAUUGGAACUGAGACACGGUCCAAACUCCUACGGGAGGCAGCAGUGAGGAAUAUUGGUCAAUGGGCGAGAGCCUGAACCAGCCAAGUAGCGUGAAGGAUGACUGCCCUAUGGGUUGUAAACUUCUUUUAUAAAGGAAUAAAGUCGGGUAUGGAUACCCGUUUGCAUGUACUUUAUGAAUAAGGAUCGGCUAACUCCGUGCCAGCAGCCGCGGUAAUACGGAGGAUCCGAGCGUUAUCCGGAUUUAUUGGGUUUAAAGGGAGCGUAGAUGGAUGUUUAAGUCAGUUGUGAAAGUUUGCGGCUCAACCGUAAAAUUGCAGUUGAUACUGGAUAUCUUGAGUGCAGUUGAGGCAGGCGGAAUUCGUGGUGUAGCGGUGAAAUGCUUAGAUAUCACGAAGAACUCCGAUUGCGAAGGCAGCCUGCUAAGCUGCAACUGACAUUGAGGCUCGAAAGUGUGGGUAUCAAACAGGAUUAGAUACCCUGGUAGUCCACACGGUAAACGAUGAAUACUCGCUGUUUGCGAUAUACGGCAAGCGGCCAAGCGAAAGCGUUAAGUAUUCCACCUGGGGAGUACGCCGGCAACGGUGAAACUCAAAGGAAUUGACGGGGGCCCGCACAAGCGGAGGAACAUGUGGUUUAAUUCGAUGAUACGCGAGGAGCCUUACCCGGGCUUAAAUUGCAGAUGAAUUACGGUGAAAGCCGUAAGCCGCAAGGCAUCUGUGAAGGUGCUGCAUGGUUGUCGUCAGCUCGUGCCGUGAGGUGUCGGCUUAAGUGCCAUAACGAGCGCAACCCUUGUUGUCAGUUACUAACAGGUUCCGCUGAGGACUCUGACAAGACUGCCAUCGUAAGAUGUGAGGAAGGUGGGGAUGACGUCAAAUCAGCACGGCCCUUACGUCCGGGGCUACACACGUGUUACAAUGGGGGGUACAGAGGGCCGCUACCACGCGAGUGGAUGCCAAUCCCCAAAACCUCUCUCAGUUCGGACUGGAGUCUGCAACCCGACUCCACGAAGCUGGAUUCGCUAGUAAUCGCGCAUCAGCCACGGCGCGGUGAAUACGUUCCCGGGCCUUGUACACACCGCCCGUCAAGCCAUGGGAGCCGGGGGUACCUGAAGUGCGUAACCGCGAGGAGCGCCCUAGGGUAAAACUGGUGACUGGGGCU
rnacentral:rRNA from 1 species